UACGGUGGCCAUGGCUGGUGGCCCGACCCGAUCCCAUCCCGAACUCGGCCGUCAAACACCAGCUUGCCGAUGGUAGCGAUUGUAUAGCUUUCGCGAGAGUAGGGAGCCGCCAACC
rnacentral:rRNA from 1 species